UUAGUAGCGAUGGAGUGUCACCAUAUUGGCCAGGCUGGUCUUGAACUCCUGACCUCAAGUGAUAUGCAGUUCUGAUCACAUUACUCUUAAUUCAGUGAUUUGUUCUUUGGCUCUACAAUAAAAAUUCUUGGAUGUUUGGAUCCAUGAGUGCUUCGCCUCAUGGCCAAAGGAAAUGGAAGCAAUUUGUUAACCUAUCAGUUUGAGUCUCCAGACCUCCUAUUUGUUCUUCCCCCAGGUAUCAGAAAACUGAAGCAACUUCCAUUUGGACACCAAAAAAGGUGAUUGCUUCUGUGAGGGGAGAAACAAGCCCUGGAUUACUCAUUCUUUCUCUGAGAUGGGAGGAAGGUUGGAUUCUGUUGUCAGCCUGACCGCCGUCUGCACAGGAAAUCCCCAAAUGUCUCAAAGACUCCUAGGUGUUAGUGAGAGGAUCCGCAGUGGCCCCGGGCUGAUGCUCCAAUAGUUACUCAAACAGUGGAGACUCAGGCUGACUCAGUGGGGCCAGAGUAAAAAAGAGAACAGCCUUGCCUUGGGGGACACAGCUACUCUGCUCCCUUCUCAAACAUCUGGGAAUAGCCCCAACCGCCACCUGCAGCCCCAGCCUUGACUGUUGCCUAUGAGUGAACCUGGGGCUCCAAAGGAUUAGCAGGGGGUGUAGUGGUCUGGGCCCAACUUAGCUAGGGUGGCAUAGGGCGGGAGGCUCUGUGCUGUAUUCCUUCUGAGGGUCCCUUUGCAGUCCCAGUAUACGGUAUGUGUACCAGCCCCAGCUGGAGCAGCCAUAACUGCUGCCAGUUUAGGCACAUGUCCUGGGUGCAGGAGACCUGGGCUGCCUUCAAGCCACUCCCCUGAGAUUCUGGGGCAGCCAGAAGAUGUGGGCUCUGGGUGGGAGCAGCCCACCUUGGCAGCACUGUCACUGCCUCUGGCCACCUGAGGCGACCCCCAGGACUCCCCAGCCCUGUACAGUGCACCUGCGUUUAUCUGUACAGGCCCUCACUCCUGCCACCCAACCCUUGCAUUCGGCAUUAGAGAGUUCUCUGAAAACCGUGUGUAAGUGACAGUCUUGCCAAUGGAUGAUCUGGGAUGUGACAAGGAGCACUUGCUCUGAGAGAAAUUUCAGGGUAAUUGUGUAAGACAGCAAUCCUGUCACAGCCUCCUCUCAGGGACAGGCCUCAGCUCUAGGGCAGCCCAUCACCUGUCGCAGGCAUCUGCUGUGUCCCUGGGGCCGAGCGAGGCAGGGGAUGCAUGGGUGACCCCGUCUAUCACUGGUGAGAAGGAAGGCUGCCUUCCACAUGCUCCUUAGGAUGCCAAGAGGCCUAGAAACUCAGAAACCCCCUUUGAGGAGCUGCACUCACAAGAGUGCCAGAAAGGGCAUAGCCCCUGUUCCCAGACCUAGGCAUGCAGCUGGCUUCACCAUCCCCACUUUCUCCUCUACCCCCACACAUGCAGGCUAGCCUUGUCCUGGGACCUGGAGGCCCUGCCCUGGGCUGGGGCCUUUCCAGCAGCCACCAAAGCCUGGCAGACUUUCUGCAUUUGAGACACAUGAGAAGGGACCCAGCGGCCCUCUGCAUCCAUCCUGGCCUUCCCAGUCCAGCCCUGUCCCCAGGCACUGCACAGCCUGUCUGGGGGCCAGACCACCCCAUUGCCCAUCCUCAGCAUCCAUGAGUCCCUGGCCUCCACCAAGCAUGUGUGACCAUUGUGUGCCUGCCCUAGUGACUCAGUAGCUUUGUGAGGAGCAGAGCGUGUAUGUUUUUUGCCUCAGAAACUAUACUUUUCUGUGUAACAGAACAAUAAACAGCAUUUGUCAACCA